rnacentral:rRNA from 1 species
AUCUACGGAAGGCAGCAGGCGCGCAACUUACCCAAUCUCGCAACGAGGAGGUAGUGACGAAAAAUCUCGGCAGGUGUUCAUUCCACCGCGCCGGAAUGGGUGCACUGUAGGCAAGUGCGCGAGGAUCCAUUGGAGGGCAAG